rnacentral:tRNA from 1 species
UACCCCGUUGUGUAAUGGUAGCACUACUGGUUUUGGUCCAGUCAGUCCAGGUUCGAAUCCUGGCGGGGUAGCCA